rnacentral:rRNA from 1 species
GACGAACGCUGGCGGCGUGCCUAAUACAUGCAAGUCGAACGGAAAGACGCUGCUUGUACUCCACUCGCGUUGGGAACGGGUGGGUAACAAGCAGGUGAUCAGCCCAGCUAUACGGGUUAAGUAUCGUAAACUGGGCGUAAUACAGGCUAGGAGCUAUCUUUAGCGUGGUGGUUGGAAAGUUAUUUCGGUGUAGGAUGGGCCCGCGGCCUAUCAGCUUGUUGGUGGGGUAAUGGCCUACCAAGGCGGCGACGGGUAGCCGGCCUGAGAGGGUGUACGGCCACAUUGGGACUGAGAUACGGCCCAGACUCCGACGGGAGGCAGCAGUGGGGAAUAUUGCACAAUGGGCGCAAGCCUGAUGCAGCGACGCCGCGUGGGGGAUGAAGGCCUUCGGGUUGUAAACUCCUUUCGCUAGGGACGAAGCUUUGUUGUGACGGUACCUAGAUAAGAAGCACCGGCUAACUACGUG